rnacentral:rRNA from 1 species
UACAGAGGGUGCAAGCGUUGUUCGGAAUCACUGGGCGUAAAGGGCGCGUAGGCGGCUUUGUAAGUCGGGGGUGAAAGCCUGUGGCUCAACCACAGAAUUGCCUUCGAUACUGCAUGGCUUGAGACCGGAAGAGGUAAGUGGAACUGCGAGUGUAGAGGUGAAAUUCGUAGAUAUUCGCAAGAACACCAGUGGCGAAGGCGGCUUACUGGUCCGGUUCUGACGCUGAGGCGCGAAAGCGUGGGGAGCAAACAGG